rnacentral:RNase_P_RNA from 1 species
CUGGUUGGUUGGGCGAUUGCGGGUGUUUAUGCAUCUGAGGAAAGUCCGCGCUCCAAAGGGUAACGUGCCGGAUAACGUCCGGGUCGGGCAACCGAUAGAAGGGUCACAGAGAAAAAUAUUGCCCAUAAUUGAGAUUAUGGGCGAGGGUGAAAUGGUGUGGUAAGAGCGCACCGGCAUCUGCAGUAAUGCAGUUGUCUAGGCAUCCCUCACGUGGAGCAAGGCCAAGCAGGAGCGA